AAAUGCUGGGAUUACAGAAGUGAGCCACCGCACCUGGCCCAAGGAUUCCUAUUUGGAUUGAAUAUCAAGGCUUGCUAGGAAAGACAGCCAACAAGUCACCAAGUUAAUAGAAGGACAAUGAUGCUUCCUUUUUCUCCUCAAAAUCUUCCUUCGCUACUAAAAGAUCUAAGUUCGGGAAAACAAUUGGUACAGGAUGUGCAGCUUGAAGAAGCUGAGGGGAUGAGUAUACUAAAUAUGCCACACUGUCUGCACCAUGCCAGAUUUGCUAUCUGCAAUUGCACAUCUGCCAGUGACCUCUGUCUGUUACUGAAGAAGGCUGCUGGCUUCUUUGCUGUAUAUCCUGAUCACGCUGACUUCCU